rnacentral:rRNA from 1 species
AACGAACGCUGGCGGCGUGCCUAACACAUGCAAGUCGAGCGGGAAAGUUUCCUUCGGGGAGCGAGUACAGCGGCGAACGGGUGAGUAACACGUAGGUAACCUACCUAGGAGCUCGGGAUAACCUGUCGAAAGGCGGGCUAAUACCGGAUAAGACCACGAGGGCCUCGGCCCUUGAGGUAAAAGGUGGCCUCUGCAUGCAAGCUAUCACUCCAAGAUGGGCCUGCGCGCCAUUAGCUUGUUGGUGAGGUAACGGCUCACCAAGGCUUAGAUGGCUAGCUGGUCUGAGAGGAUGAUCAGCCACACUGGGACUGAGACACGGCCCAG